rnacentral:rRNA from 1 species
GACGAACGCUGGCGGCGUGCUUAACACAUGCAAGUCGAACGGAAAGGCCCUGCUUUUGUGGGGUGCUCGAGUGGCGAACGGGUGAGUAACACGUGAGUAACCUGCCCUUGACUUUGGUAUAACUUCAGGAAACUGGGGCUAAUACCGGAUAGGAGCUCCUGCUCCAUGGUGGGGGUUGGAAAGUUUCGGCGGGUGGGGAUGGACUCGCGGCUUAUCAGCUUGUUGGUGGGGUAGUGGCUUACCAAGGCUUUGGUGGGUAGCCGGCCUGAGAGGGUGACCGGCCACAUUGGGACUGAGAUACGGACCAGACUCCUACGGGAGGCAGCAGUGGGGAAUAUUGCACAAUGGGAGGAAGCCUGAUGCAGCAACGCCGCGUGCGGGAUGACGGCCUUCGGGUUGUAAACCGCUUUCGCCUGUGACGAAGCGGGAGUGACGGUAAUGGGUAAAGAAGCACCGGCUAACUACGUG